AAGCUUGAUAAUGCACGUGCAAAUGGAUGUUAUGACGCAAGUUGGAAAAAAUGAUCUUAUUUACGUGGCAUUUUAAAGCGAAACCCUAAAAAAGUAUUGAGGUCGGCAGUCGAGUAAAAAAAACCUUAAGAUGAAUUGCUAGAACAGACGCCACUUUAUCGUUCUAAAAAUGUCUUAAAUUAAAAAAAUCAACCUAAUUAACCAAUUUACGUCUAUCACGCCUACGUUCGCAUGUCAAUGAUUGCGUGUUACAUACUGAACAUUAAAACACCACACAAAGACUAUAUAUAUUUACUCAGUGGAUAACGGGCCGAAUAGUACUGAUAGAUGUUCGCAUUAAUGACGGGCUCAAGUGUGUAGGCGUCCGUUGGUCGCCGUUAUUGGACAGCUGCCUCGCUGUUCUCCGCACGACCUUUCUGGCAAGUGUCCAGUGUCCGCGUACAUGAACCUGUGCUGAUGGCUAAUUUGCUGCUGAUGUGCCAAAUUGUCCAAAACGCCAGAAGAAAAACACACAAAGACGCAGUGCAACGUGAUCACUUGAAACUAAUCGCAUAGUUUCAAUAUCACUGGAAAUUAGCUAAAUUAUUUACUUUUCUUGAUUGGCAAGUUCACUGCCGUGUUGUAAAUAUACGAGUAACACAUGUAAUCCUCGACGAGUUUAAUUUUAGAUAAGAAAAAUUCAAAACUAUCAUAAUACUAAUUACUACUAUAUGUCCAUUGAAUUGACAACGUUAUAAAUAGACGUGUGAUACAUGCAAUCAAAUAGUUUUCUACUGUUUUAACGUAGCAAAAAACAGUUAAUUAUACGCUAUUAAGAUAAUGAAAUGUAUUUAAAUGUCUUAUCAGACGACGUGACUGCUAUAUUAUCAAGUUUUAUAUUAUUAUAAUGACCGUCAAUUAAUGAACAACAGAUAAUUAGUUUUCGACAUUAUUUAAUGUACAGUCAAAGAAACUAAGAAUUACAAUCGUUGGAUAUGAUUGGUCAAAUAGCAAUAAAUUACACCGCGUUCACGGAAUAUGAGUCAAAACACCACGUCAAUGCCAUUAAAAAUACUUUUUUAACGGAAUUUUAAAUCAAUCAUUCUUCAAUUAGCUAACAGAGAUUAAAUACGUUCCUAAAAUUACUUUACAUAAGUCGUUCAAAUACUGUGAAAGAGAAACAAAAAGCAAACGAACCAUUAAGGUAAGUUUAUAACGAGUAAAUCAAAAACAUAUCUACAAGAUAAUCUUCUAUUCCGGUUACA